GACGUAACGGCUGGCGGCGUUGCUUAACACAUGCAAGUCGAACGGUGACGAGGAGCUUGCUCCUCUGAUCAGUGGCGAACGGGUGAGUAACACGUGAGCAACCUGCCCCAGACUCUGGGAUAACAGUUGGAAACAGCUGCUAAUACCGGAUACGAGACGGAGAGGCAUCUCUACCGUCUGGAAAGUUUUUCGGUCUGGGAUGGACUCGCGGCCUAUCAGCUAGUUGGUGAGGUAAUGGCUCACCAAGGCGACGACGGGUAGCCGGCCUGAAGGGCGACCGGCCACACUGGGACUGAGACACGGCCCAGACUCCUACGGGAGGCAGCAGUGGGGAAUAUUGCACAAUGGGCGAAAGCCUGAUGCAGCGACGCCGCGUGAGGGAUGACGGCCUUCGGGUUGUAAACCUCUUUCAGCAGGGAAGAAGCGAAAGUGACGGUACCUGCAGAAGAAGCACCGGCUAACUACGUG
rnacentral:rRNA from 1 species